UCCUUAUCGAUACAUAUAACUUAUUCUA
rnacentral:sRNA from 1 species